rnacentral:lncRNA from 1 species
GUUAUGAUCUCCUGGCUCCUGGUUCACUCAGGGACUAAUGUGUUUGGAUAGUUGUCUUAAGUUGGAGUGUUCCACAGAAGACCGAGUGUAGGAAGGUCUUGGCUCUUGAAAGAGGUCUAGUUUGUUUGUUUAUCAUUUAUUUACUCAUGCAUUAAUUUAGUGUCUGUUCACUGAACAUUCACUGAGUAUCUGUUACCUACCAGACAGUGAUCGCAAUGCUAUUUGCAGGCUGGCGAUGGAGGCUGGAGACCAUAAGACCAUAAGGCUGGAGAUCAGGAGCAGGAAGUUGCAAGAGAUGAGGGAACAUUAGAGCUGAGUAUGAGCAGCUACAUCUGCCCAUCUAAAACAGAGGCACCUGCCUUUCAUGCAUUCAGGAUGUAGGAGAGCCAGCAUCAAAGCUCAGCGCUCUUCUGAAUCCUCCUCCCCUAUGGAAAGUUCUAAUUCGUUCACAAACGGGUGAGACCAGUUGGAGGAGGAAUCAAACAGGGCAGACCGAUGUGUUCGUGUUCUGGAAUUUGCCAAAGGGAACCAUCAAUCUCCAAGACAUCGGUGCUGGGCAAAGUCUCAUGUGAGCUGAUUGUUUUAGGACGAGGCAAGACGUUGGAGGAGAUUUUAGAAAUCAGAUGAGUUUCCCGGCUUCCACACACUCCUGAGCAUCGGAUCCAGGUGAGUUUGGGCAGAGCCCAGGGCUUUGAGGGGCUUCUGAGGCAC